AUUGAACGCUGGCGGCAGGCCUAACACAUGCAAGUCGAACGAGUGGCGGACGGGUGAGUAAUGUCUGGGAAACUGCCUGAUGGAGGGGGAUAACUACUGGAAACGGUAGCUAAUACCGCAUACCAUCAGAUGUGCUCAGAUGGGAUUAGCUAGGUGGUGGGGUAACGGCUCACCAAGGCGACGAUCCCUAGCUGGUCUGAGAGGAUGAUCAGCCACACUGGAACUGCGACACGGCCCAGACUCCUACGGGAGGCAGCAGUGGGGAAUAUUCGACAAUGGGCGAAAGCCUGAUGCAGCCACGCCGCGUGUGUGAAGAAGGCCUUCGGGUUGUAAAGCACUUUCAGCGGGGAGGCGUUACCCGCAGAGGAAGCACCGGCUAACUCCGUGCCAGCAGCCGCGGUAAUAC
rnacentral:rRNA from 1 species